rnacentral:tRNA from 1 species
CGGGGUGUAGUUCAGUUGGCUAGAACGCAUGCAUGGGGUGCAUGAGGCCGCAGGUUCAAGUCCUGUCACCCCGACAA